GUUCAUAUUUAUAAAUAGUAUAGGGAGAACCUUCGGCUCAUUGGUUUUGAAAAUUUACACCAAAAACGAAAGUACAAAUGAACACAAGGUCAAAUUUGAUAAAGCUUUUCCAAUAUCAGCGUUUGAUGAAUAACUGUUCGUACAUGCUUGAAGAAAGCGCAUUAUAUAUCAAAAUUAUCAAAGCAAGCUAUAAUGAAAUUUUUCAAAUCACAGUUAAAUGCCAUUGAUAGAAAAGUCCGCUUCGAGAUCUAUGAGAAUGACUGGGACUCGGACUGGGAUAAGUUUAAUUAUAAAGUAAGAUGAUAUUUCAGCUACU
rnacentral:lncRNA from 1 species